rnacentral:lncRNA from 1 species
AUUCACAGUCAGUGAUUAAAUAAGUCAACGGAGAAUACCGAUGUAAAAUCGAAAUUUGCAAAACUAUUUGAGAAAGAUGAUAGAAUUACUGUGUAAUUUCAGAGAAGUUAAGUUAGAGCACUUAGCAAGAGAAGAAAAUGAAAAGGCUAAUGCAUUAGCCCAAUCGGCUUCAGGGUAUAAAGUGCCGAAGAAAAGUUCAGUAAAAAUAGAUCGCAGAUUAU